UCUGGAUGUUCCUUAGAAAAUGAAGACCCAGAAAUACCACUCUUUGGAAUAUACCCAAAAGAUGUCCCACCAUGCCACAGGAGUACAUGUUACAUUAUGUUCAUAGAGUUUUUGUUUGUGAUAGCCAGAAACUGGAAACAACCAAGAUGUCCCACAAUAGAAGAAUGAAUCCAGAAAAUGUUGUUCAUUUACACAAUGGAAUACUACUCAGCUAUUAAGAAUGAGGACAUCCUGAGUUUUUCAGUCAAAUGGAUGAAACUAGAAAAUAUCAUCCUGAAUGAGUUAACUCAGACCCAAAAGGACACACAUAGUAUGUACUCACUAAUAAUUGGAUAUUAGACAAAAAAACAAACAAACAACAACAACAACAACAAAAAAAAACCCGCUGAAUAUCCAAGAGACAGCCCACAGAACUCAAAAGGAUUAACAAGCUAAAGGAUCCAACUGACGAUUUCUUAGUACCACUUGGGUGGGAGAAGAAUGCAACCUCAAGGUAAGAAGGAAGGACUUGGAAAGAGAAAGGGGAUGAGGGUGGCAUAGAGGGGAACAAGAUCGGGUAUUGGGUGGGAGAAAAUGACUGAAAUUCUUGAGGACCAGGAGAAAGAAUGGAAACAUGCAAGCUUGGAAGGUAAGAGGUUGGGGAUACCCUUCAGAAUGUAGCUGAGACCUGAGAGAUGAGAGACACUCAGGACUCAAAGAAAGGACCUUAGAUAAAAUGCCCUACAUUGGAGAGAGGG
rnacentral:lncRNA from 1 species